AGCGAACGCUGGCGGCAGGCCUAACACAUGCAAGUCGAACGAUCCUUCGGGAUAGUGGCGGACGGGUGAGUAACACGUGGGAACGUGCCCUUUGGUUCGGAAUAACUCAGGGAAACUUGAGCUAAUACCGGAUGUGCCCUUCGGGGGAAAGAUUUAUCGCCAUUGGAGCGGCCCGCGUUGGAUUAGCUAGUUGGUGGGGUAAAGGCUCAACAAGGCUACGAUCCAUAGCUGGUCUGAGAGGAUGAUCAUCCACACUGGGACUGAGACACGGCCCAGACUCCUACGGGAGGCAGCAGUGGGGAAUCUUGCGCAAUGGGCGAAAGCCUGACGCAGCAAUGCCGCGUGAAUGAUGAAGGUCUUAGGAUUGUAAAAUUCUUUCACCGGGGACGAUAAUGACGGUACCCGGAGAAGAAGCCCCGGCUAACUUCGUGCCAGCAGCCGCGGUAAUAC
rnacentral:rRNA from 1 species